rnacentral:lncRNA from 1 species
AUGGAGACAGUGAGAUAGAUAGAUGUUGAGGGGCCAAUCCUGAAUAUCAAACGCUGUCGUUUUCCGCCUACUACAUCAACAACAUGCUCUCCACUGUAUCCCCAACCUAGGGUUCCGAUUUCUGCACCCUUAUUCACCAACCCUACAUCUCUCUCUCUCUCUCUCAUUAUACACAUUCACUUGUAAUGUAAUUACACCGGUCUCUGAUUCAAUUUGAUGAUUCUAGAUCCAUUGUCUAUGUGUGAGUUUACUUGCUGUUGAAGUUUGUUACAGAUUCUGCAUCGGAAUCACCGCUUUCGCAUUCUCGAUGUUGUUGUUGUUGUCCGUUUGGAUUGGAAACAUUCUGAUUCAUCGCACAUCCGUUUCGCCUACAAGGUUAUAAUGUUAUGUUCAGAUCUCGAUCGGUGUGUAACUUAUGGUUGAAGGUUACGGGCAUGUAUGUAUUUUGUAAUUAU